ensembl:snRNA U1 U1 spliceosomal RNA
UUACUUACCUAGCACGGGAGAUACUGUGAUCACAAAGGUGGUUUUCCCAGAGUAAGUCUCACCUAUUGCACUCUGGGUAUACUGGCCCCUGUGAUUUUACCAAAUGCAAGAAACUUGACUGCGUAAUUUGUGGUAGUGGGGGGACUGUGUUUGCGCUUUCCCUGU